GCUGAUAGCGCUCAUGGUCGGCCUUCGCCGACUGGGUGCGCAUGGUAUUCCCUGGGCUCGCCAUGUAAGUCAGAUAGAAAAUGUUUCUUAAGUUGGAAUGUGUUUGCGGAAGCGAUGGAGUGCUUGACUCCGAGGUCGUUUGACCGGUUGGUCUAAGAUACCAAAAUUGGGCAUGUGAUAUUAUGUUACGGGCAAAGCUGCAGAGUUGUACCACGACUUAUUCGCACGCAAAGGCUCCACGCUCACAAUUCAGAGCAUGCGUGAUGACUUCGUGUUGUUUUUCGGUGACGUGCGCCAUUGCACCCCUCACCACGUACGAACACAACUACAUGCCGGUGCACACGCGAUGAAACCCGGCGAGUCCAUACCGAAUUACGUGCAACGGUUCCGCGAAAUUACGCGCGGUGACCCUAACAUGUCUCAAAUUGACUUGUGCACUUGGCUUAUUCACGGUAUGCCACCGCAACUGC
rnacentral:lncRNA from 1 species